rnacentral:misc_RNA from 1 species
CGAAAUGCGAUAAGUAAUGUGAAUUGCAGAAUUCAGUGAAUCAUCGAAUCUUUGAACGCACAUUGCGCCCGCCAGCAUUCUGGCGGGCAUGCCUGUUCGAGCGUCAUUUCAACCAUCAAGCCCCCGGGCUUGUGUUGGGGACCUGCGAAAGCUAUUUUGGCCCGCAGGCCCUGAAAUGCAGUGGCGGGCUCGCUAGUCACACCGAGCGUAGUAGCAAUUUUAUCUCGCUCAGGGCGUUGCUGCGGGUUCCCGGCCGUUAAACCCCCCUUUCUAAACCAAAGGUUGACCUCGGAUCAGGUAGGAAGACCCGCUGAACUUAAGC